rnacentral:tRNA from 1 species
GCGGCAUGGCGUGACACUGGCGAACACACGCUCAGCACGGUUGAGGGCCGUGUGCCCGAGAGGGCAUGGGGGUUCAAGUCCCCCCUUUCGCACCA